rnacentral:rRNA from 1 species
UACGAAGGGGGCAAGCGUUGUUCGGAAUUACUGGGCGUAAAGGGCGCGUAGGCGGCCUUGUAAGUCAGAUGUGAAAUCCCUGGGCUCAACCUAGGAAUGGCAUUUGAAACUACAAAGCUAGAGGACGAGAGAGGAUAGCGGAAUUGCAAGUGUAGAGGUGAAAUUCGUAGAUAUUUGCAAGAACACCAGUGGCGAAGGCGGCUAUCUGGCUCGUAUCUGACGCUGAGGCGCGAAAGCGUGGGGAGCAAACAGG